rnacentral:rRNA from 1 species
AUUGAACGCUGGCGGCAGGCCUAACACAUGCAAGUCGAGCGGAUGAAGGGAGCUUGCUCCUGGAUUCAGCGGCGGACGGGUGAGUAAUGCCUAGGAAUCUGCCUGGUAGUGGGGGAUAACGUCCGGAAACGGGCGCUAAUACCGCAUACGUCCUGAGGGAGAAAGUGGGGGAUCUUCGGACCUCACGCUAUCAGAUGAGCCUAGGUCGGAGUAGCUAGUUGGUGGGGUAAAGGCCUACCAAGGCGACGAUCCGUAACUGGUCUGAGAGGAUGAUCAGUCACACUGGAACUGAGACACGGUCCAGACUCCUAAGGGAGGCAGCAGUGGGGAAUAUUGGACAAUGGGCGAAAGCCUGAUCCAGCCAUGCCGCGUGUGUGAAGAAGGUCUUCGGAUUGUAAAGCACUUUAAGUGGGGAGGAAGGGCAGUAAGUUAAUACCUUGCUGUUUUGACGGUACCAACAGAAUAAGCACCGGCUAACUUCGUG